rnacentral:lncRNA from 1 species
UGGGCAGAACAGCACUGGUUGAACUUCACAAAUACCAGACUUCUGCCCUCACCUCUCCUGCUCUCAAGAGAUAGACCUUGCGAUAUGCUGGGUUGUAUUAAAACUCCCUACGUAGUAAUAUACAAUGUCAGACAAGUAAUAUGGCUGUCAGUCUGUUUCACAGACAAUUUAAAUUGGAUCUUUUGGCUCAGUAAAAAGCUAAAAUCAACAGCCUUGAUGGUUAUUGCCAGGACAUAAAGUCUGUAAUUCAGAGAUUAGAUUCCUUUGAUAAUUAUCUUAUUUUAAGUUAGAGGCUCUGUAACUCUAAUUCUACACUUGCAGUUCUUGUAUUUCCUUAUUUGGAGUAGCAUUUUAUUACAUCUUUUGUUUUUGUUCAUCAAAGAGAAAGUUCUGAAUAUGAAAGCAAACAAAAUUUUGCAUUUGAUGGCAUCAAAACACUUCUGGAGAUGAAGCGUCUUUCAAGUUACAUGUAACAAAUGUAUUUGCAUUACAUCUCAAAAACAACCAGAAUAUGUGAAAAACAACCUUCUUAGUUGUUAGUCAUGGGACUUAGUAAUGGUUGGAGUUAAUGACUUAAAACAUCUAAUAAUCAUUUAAGUCAAUUGAUAGACUUGUAUGAUAUCAAUUAGUACAAUUAGCAAGGUUAUGAAAAUUCAGACUAGAAAAGUUUAUUGUCUUGAAACACUCAGGAAGACCUAAGUCGUCACAGCUCAUCCCAGGAAUGACAUGGCAUAGUCUUAAGCAAAUGGGAGGACCAGUGUCCCAGAGAGAGCAGGACUCAAAGGACUGAGCAGUGCUAAAUGGUGCCAAAAUAUUUCCUUGACUGAGCUCCUGGGACUGCCUUUGAAAUCAUGGAUGACUCACGUGCUCAGAAAACUAUUCAUUUAAGGUUUAUUCUGUCCUGCACUGGCCCAGCAAUUUGCAGAGCAAUCCAAUCAUCCUUUCGAGCAGCAUGGUCAGCAGGGAGAAUAUUCUCAGCCAGCUUCCUCAGAAAUGUCCCAGUGCCUCCUACAGUAUCAAACGGCCAUAAGCACGUUACCAGAUGUACACCAAAGAGAGAGCUGAGUAAACAGCCAACAAACUACUGGGACUGUGGGGGAAGAGUCCUUUCAGCAGCACUGAACAAAGAUUUUAUAUAACUAACAUAAAAACUCUUGCUAAUUAGUUCCUGGUAUAUCAGAACACGUGAAAUAAAUGAUUCUAUCAUUAUUUUCUCUUGCUAAUG